rnacentral:rRNA from 1 species
UGGGUAACCCACCCCGAUGACCGGGACAACCCGAGGAAACUCGGGCUAAUACCGGAUGUGCUCCCUGGCCUUGAGGCCAGGGCGUAAAGAUAGCUUCGGCCUUCGCAUCGGGACGGCCCGCGGCCCAUUAGCUUGUUGGGGGGUAACGCCUACCAUGGCGACGAUGGGUAGCUGGUCUGAGAGGACGAUCAGCCACACUGGGACUGAGACACGGCCCAGACUCCGUACGGGAGCAG